UACGUAGGGGGCUAGCGUUGUCCGGAAUCAUUGGGCGUAAAGCGCGUGUAGGCGGCCCGGUAAGUCCGCUGUGAAAGUCGGGGGCUCAACCCUCGGAUGCCGGUGGAUACUGUCGGGCUCGAGUACGGAAGAGGCGAGUGGAAUUCCUGGUGUAGCGGUGAAAUGCGCAGAUAUCAGGAGGAACACCAAUUGCGAAGGCAGCUCGCUGGGACGUUACUGACGCUGAUGCGCGAAAGCUAGGGGAGCAAACGGG
rnacentral:rRNA from 1 species